rnacentral:rRNA from 1 species
GACGAACGCUGGCGGCGUGCUUAACACAUGCAAGUCGAACGCUGAAGCACCAGCUUGCUGGUGUGGAUGAGUGGCGAACGGGUGAGUAAUACGUGAGUAACCUGCCCUUGACUCUGGGAUAAGCCCGGGAAACUGGGUCUAAUACUGGAUGCUACAUGUCACCGCAUGGUGGUGUGUGGAAAGGGUUUACUGGUCUUGGAUGGGCUCACGGCCUAUCAGCUUGUUGGUGAGGUAAUGGCUCACCAAGGCGACGACGGGUAGCCGGCCUGAGAGGGUGACCGGCCACACUGGGACUGAGACACGGCCCAGACUCCUACGGGAGGCAGCAGUGGGGAAUAUUGCACAAUGGGCGAAAGCCUGAUGCAGCGACGCCGCGUGAGGGAUGACGGCCUUCGGGUUGUAAACCUCUUUCAGCAGGGAAGAAGCCACAAGUGACGGUACCUGCAGAAGAAACGCCGGCGAACUACGU